AUUGAACGCUGGCGGAAUGCUUUACACAUGCAAGUCGAACGGUAGAGGGGGCAACCCCUUGAGAGUGGCGAACGGGUGAGUAAUAUAUCGGAACGUGCCCAGUCGUGUGGGAUAACGUAGCGAAAGUUACGCUAAUACCGCAUACGAUCUAAGGAUGAAAGCGGGGGAUCGCAAGACCUCGCGCGACUGGAGCGGCCGAUAUCAGAUUAGGUAGUUGGUAGGGUAAAGGCCUACCAAGCCAACGAUCUGUAGCUGGUCUGAGAGGACGACCAGCCACACUGGAACUGAGACACGGUCCAGACUCCUACGGGAGGCAGCAGUGGGGAAUUUUGGACAAUGGGCGAAAGCCUGAUCCAGCCAUUCCGCGUGCAGGAUGAAGGCCCUCGGGUUGUAAACUGCUUUUGUACAGAACGAAAAGGUUUCUAUUAAUACUAGGAGCUCAUGACGGUACUGUAAGAAUAAGCACCGGCUAACUACGUG
rnacentral:rRNA from 1 species